ensembl:lncRNA
AGAGCAGGCGGAAUCUCUCCAGGAGGAAGGAACAGCCAGUGCAAAAGCCCUGAACUUGAAGAUCACUUGACCUGUGGCCAGGAAGAGGAUCAUUGUGGCGGGGGCUUAGUGAGGGGCAGCGAGAGAGCAAGAGCAGGGAGCUCUGAAGCUGGGAUGACCCUUCAGAUUUGUCAUUAGAUGCAGCUGCCUGAGGAAGUGGGCAUGACUCGGCAGCCGAGGCAGUCCUCGAGGGGCUGACAGCGGAGGGCGGUAUUCCUAGCAGCUGGACACCGAGUCCAUCGCUGACCCUGAAGGGGGCUCUGCUCUGUGGACACCCUGGGAGUGGCCAGGACCGAGCUUCAACACCGCCAUCGUGUGGCUAUAAUAAGUCACAACAGCCGUGAACUCAGGACUUCCGGUUACCUUUCUCGAUGGGGAAAGCGAUAAGACCACAGGCAGUAGCCUCAGAAACUAGCCUCACCGCACCUCUUUGCUGCUGCUGCUGCUGCUGCAAAGUCGCUUCAGUCGUGUCCGACUCUGUGCGACCCCAUAGACGGCAGCCCACCAGGCUCCCCCGUCCCUGGGAUUCUCCAGGCAAGGACUCUGGAGUGGAUUGUCAUUUCCUUCUCCAAUGCAUGAAAGUGAAAAGUCAAAGUGAAGUCACUCAGUCGUGUCUGACUCUUAGCGACCCCAUGGAAGGAAUCAGUCAACAUAAUAAUGUCCACCACAGCUGCCAUUCAGUGAGCAGAUAGGAGGAACUGCAUGAUCUUAGGUAAUCUAAACGCAUCAAUGCAAGGAGGCUCAGAACAGGGGAAAAAGACGUGUGCCAGGUAUGGAGUCCCGUACCAAGGGCACAGGUGCAAGGCCUGUACCAAGGCUACAGACGCAGAGCCCAAAACCAAAGUCACUUCCAGAACUGACCGAGCCCCACUGUAACCGUUGCCAAAAGUCCCCCCGAGCCUUACCAGCCAGCUUCAUGACCCUAAAUUAGGCAAAAAUGCCCAUCCAAGGAUUUACCUUAGAGCACCCUAACCAAUCACCUAAUGCCACCCUUCCAGCAGGAAUUUCCUUUAUCUUGAGGCUAUAAAAAUUGGCUACUAGCCCAAGAAAAGUACCGGAUCCCCCUUGAGCCGGCCCAUUGUUCUAACAGCAUCCGGGCUCUCCCUGGCCAGGCAGGAGGUCAGCCCACUGUGCCUGCAGCGCUCACAUUCUCUCUGCUCUUUGUUCUUAAUAAACUC